rnacentral:rRNA from 1 species
AUGGUGAGGAGCAAAGAGGUGCCCAAGAGGCCCAAGGACCCGCUCAUGACCCCUCCGUCCAAGCCCAGGGGGUUCAGGGACGACGGCUUCGGCGGAAGCCUGCCGAGGAACCGCGGCGGCGCGGCCAUGUCCCCGGCGCCGGCCUCCGUGCCCAACUACAUGCGGGCCACCAGCAGCUCCGGCGCCAAGGCCGGGCCCGGGCGGCGCGCGGGGGCGGUGCCCUCGUCGGCGUCGCCCACGGCCAGGCGGGGGCCGCUGCGGGCGGUCACGACGGGGAGGGUGCUGUUCCCGACGCCGGAGGUGCCCGGCAUGGUCCGGGCCACGCCCACGUGCUCCUCCACCAUGAAGGAGGCCAAGUUCCCCGGCGCGCUCGACCUGGCGCCCGGGGCCACCGACGCCCAGGGCCCCGCGGCGAUGCGCGUCUGCCCGUACAACUACUGCUCCCUCAACGGCCACACCCACUCGCCGGCCGUGCCGCUCCGGAGCUUCCUCGCGUCGCGCCGCCGGCUCAUCAAGACGCAGCAGAGCAUGAAGCACAAGGGCGUCUCGGCGUUCCGCAAGGGAUCCGGCCAUCAGAGGCCGGAGGGCAAGAACGGCAGCCCCGUCCUCUCCGCCGCCGUCGCCAAGGCCGCGCCUCUGGUCGACGAGGAGGCGCUGGGCGACUUCUUCGUGGAGGUGUACGCCGGCCCGAGGGUGAGCUCCGACAUGAGCUGCAGCGACAUGUCCCUGGACGAGAUGGACGCCGCGGUGAGGAGGAUGGAGUUCGUCGUCUUCGACCGGUGCGGCGUGGGCGAGGACGACGAGAAGGGCGGCGAUCCUGCCGUUGGCGUUGACGGCGGCGGGAGGCCGGAGGAGGACAGGCUCGGUUUCUGCAGGGACAGUUCGUCGGAGUGCAGCGAUGACGGUGCCUCCGGUCUCAUCUCCGGCAACCUCGUGGAGGAGCUGCCCUGGAUGAGGUACGAGUGCGAUAGCCUGGACGAUGAUGUUUCAGAAGAGCAUGUUCAGGAAGCAGAGGUUUCAGAGGGGCAAGAAGGUGAAGAUGAAGAAGGCAGAUCCCGCGGAUCGGGCGAUAAUCACGAAGAGGAGGCGGAUGAAGAACAGAAACCAGAAAAAUCGGAGAUCAUCUCCGAUCUGCCCCGUGAAACGGGGAUCAUCGCGGAGGAAGCGGGUGCCGAUUGCAGAGUGGAGAUCUGCGAAGAAAUCUCAAACACAAUGGAUCAACAGGAGGCGGCUUCCACAGUGCAAGAGAGGCAACAUGAAGACGAUGAGGAGCGUGUCUCGGAUGUUGCCCACAAAAUGGAGAUCGCCGCGGCGCAAGCAUGCAUUGUUUGUGCGGCGGAGGUCUGCAAUGAACAGCAAGAAGAAGAAGAUCAAGACAACAUCCUGGGCCAAGUGAUCCAAGGGGAUGCUUCUGAUGGACAGGGCACGUCAGAAGAGAAGCUCUCCAAUGGUGUCGAUAAGCCGGAGAUUCCUGAGCAUGAACUAGACAUCCUGGGCAAAGUGGUCCAAGGGGAUAUUUCUGAUGGCCAGGGCACGUCAGAAGAGCAGCUCUCCAAUGGUGUCUGUGAACUGGAGAUUCCUGCGAAUGAAGUAGCAGAAAGAGUGGAAAAUGUCCUCGAAGAGAGCCCGGUGGAUGAGAGUUCAGCAGAUCAAGAGGCAAAGGAUGAUCGGAGCAACGUUGAAUCUACCGGCAACUUGGACGUUACAGAGAAGCAGGACAUGCCGGAUCAUGAGUCUGAAGUGGAGCUUUAUGAGACUGUGCCCAGUGUUGCAUGCGAAGAGGAUUUCGUUGAGGAAGAUGUAACCUCAAGAGCUGUUUCAGAAGGUGAAAUUUCUGACUGCAGUGAAAUUGCUUAUCCGGAUGUUGAAAUGUCCACACAGCCAACAGAGGGUGGCAUUGAACAAGAUGUGAACAAUGUGGAAGAUGCUUUUGAAGAGUAUGGCAGCGCCGUGAACAACUUGGUUGAUCAGUGUAUCCCUGCAGAAGGCACAGUGGAUGUCAUAGAAGAUGCUCAGAAGGAAAUUGAGAUUGCCUCAUGCAAUUUGGAAGAUGCUUCUGAAGCAUAUGGUACUUCCCAAGAAAGCAGCCAGGAAGUUGAUUUCCUAUGUGUUGAUGCUGCUGCUCAAAUGGAACCAGAGCCAGAGGUUACAAACUGCAAGUUGGAAGAUUCUUCUGAAGAGUAUGGUAUUGCCCAAGAAAGCAGCCAGGAUGUUAAGCCUGUAUGCGUUGAUGCUGCUGCUCAAACGGAACCUGAGCCAGAGGUUACAAAUUGCAAGUUGGAAGAUUCUUCUGAAGAGUCUGGUAUUGCCCAAGAAAGCACCCAAGAUGUUAAGCCUGUCUGUGUUGAUGCUGCUGCUCAAAUGGAACCAGAGACUAGAAACUGCAACUUGGAAGAUGCUUCCGCAGAAGCUGGUAUCACUGGAGAAACUGUUCAUGAUGAUAACUUGGUGUAUGUCGGCGAGGUUGCUCAAGUGCAAUCAGGGGUUGACACAAGCGAGUUGGUAGACACUUCUGAAGAAUCUGGUAUUGCUCAUGAAAUUGGUGAAGAUGAUAACUCUGCAUAUGUCAGUAAUGAUGCUCAAAGUGAUUCUGGGAUCGCCACAUGCGAACUGGGAGAAGAAUCUGCUACUGUCCAGGAAGCUGAUCAGGAUCAGAACUGUACAGAUGUCAAUGGUGGUUAUACACAUGAGUCCGAGCUUACCGCUUGUGAACUGGCAGAGGCUUCUGAAGCAUGUGAUAUUACCCAAGAAGCUAUUCAAGAUGACAGCAUUUCAGAUGUCAGUGAUGGUGCUCAAAAGGAAUCAGAAAUUAUAGCAUGCGAAUCAGAACAUGCUUGUGAAGAAUCUCAUAUUAUCCAAGAAGGGGGUGAAGAUGUUAACACUGCUUGUGAAGAAUCUGAUAUUAUCCAAGAAGGGGUGGAAGAUGAUAACACUGCUUGUGAAGAAUCUGAUAUUAUCCAAGAAGGGGUGGAAGAUGAUAACACUGCUUGUGAAGAAUCUUAUAUUAUCCAAGAAGGGGGUGCAGAUGAUAACACUGCUGGUGUCCGUACUGGUGCUCUAAAGGAGCCAAAGAUCAUGGCAUCCGAAUUGGCAGAUGCUUGUGAAGUUUGUAUUACCGAGGAGGCUAAUCUCUCACCCGUUGUCCAGAUACCUGAGCAUAACUAUGACCUGUCAGCAACUGACGGCCAUGGGGAGCCCCAGAACCUACCAGCAGAAGACACUGUUGCAAAAGAAUUUUCCAUUGACGACAUGUGCAACGUAUUCAGCGAGAUGAACCUCAAAGGCGACAUAUAUGUUGAUCCUACCGAGUCCGAGAUUUGUCCGAGAAACAGAAGGAUCGUUGCCGGGAGGAGGAGAAUGCCUGAAGAAGAUGAAUACAUGCGAGGCUUUAACCCAAGGGCACCAAAUUUUCUUCCUCUGGAAUCAGACCCUGAUGCAGAAAAGGUUGAUCUGAAGCAUCAGACGGCGGAAGACCGCAAGAAUGCCGAAGAGUGGAUGAUUGACUACGCGCUUCGGAGGGCGGUGAAUAAUCUAGGCCCUGCUCGGAAGAAGAAAGUGGAGCUUCUGGUCCAGGCCUUUGAGACUGUCCUACCGCAGGAUGAGAAGAAAAGCAUUUCACCUACAAGGCCUGCCCAAGCUUGCAACUGA